rnacentral:rRNA from 1 species
UAGGGAAUAUUGCAAAAUGGGCGAAAGCCCGAUGCAGCAACGCCGCGUGGGCGAUGAAGGCCUUCGGGUCGUAAAGCCCUUUUUGAGGGGAUGAGGAAGGACAGUACCCUCAGAAUAAGCCUCGGCUAACUACGUGCCAGCAGCCGCGGUAAAACGUAGGAGGCGAGCGUUAUCCGGAUUUACUGGGCGUAAAGCGCGUGCAGGCUGGUUGGAGAGUUGGAUGUGAAAGCUCCCGGCUUAACUGGGAGAGGUCGUUCAAUACUUCCAGUCUUGAGUGCAGUAGAGGGAAGUCGAAUUCCGGGUGUAGUGGUGAAAUGCGUAGAUAUCCGGAGGAACACCAGUGGCGAAAGCGGCUUCCUGGACUGCAACUGACGCUCAGACGCGAAAGCUAGGGUAGCAAACG